GGAGCGGUGCCUGUCCCGGGCAGUGCCUCAGCACGGCCGCCACGUCUUCCUCCCCAGCGCUGAGGGAGGAACCUGCCCUGGGCUUCAUCCUAGGGAGCUGUCUGCUCACCGACAAAACCCCGGGCACAGCAGGACCCGAGGAUUUAAAAAAAAAUACAAAAAAAACCCAAACAAAACCAGCAUCGCACCUUCUGGGUGAGGAGAUCUCGCUGAGAACCCCACGAGAGGCCCACCCAAGGCCAUGCUCUGGCACAGCAGCUCCGUGAAUCCCCUCACGCCCUCCUGAACCAGGUUUGAUAAAGCAACACAACAUGGUGAGGAAGAUAAGCAGCAAGUUAAAGAAGGCCUGCAGGGAGAAGCAGGUUACCCAGGAGACUGGAUACAGAGAUUUUUGUGACUAGAAGACUGCUCCAGGGGUUUAGUCUGAAGACAACUAAAGGCUGCAGCUGACAUCAGCAUCUCUGAGUUUUGCCCCUGGCUAUGGAGUUGAGAGCAGUGAAGGCACCACCUCAGCACAAAUACAUAUAUAUUAGCCACAAAGCCUUUCUGAAUAAGUAGUGAGGAAGGGCAUAUAGAAGUUGCCUGGCUCUACAAACUCCCUUUGAAAUCCCAGUGGGAAAUCAGCGAACAGAAUCAUUAUCUGGAUUGGAGGGGAAACUGAAGGCAUUUUGUAAAGCUGGUGGAAAGUCUCCUCCUGCAAUUGCACUGCAAAACAGACUAUGGCAAGGUGAUUUGGGGAGUGGUGAGGGUCACAUUAAUGUGGUGUCUUGACAAAUGCACUUGGAAGUCCUUCCUGAUCUCAGCAGCAACGAGCUGCUCCUCUGAUUUUCUAAAAUCUAACUAAAGCUUUGAGAUAUAAUUAAGAGACCACUCUUCAAGGUUCACUGGCACUCCAGAAGAUGAACUGACACACCAGAAGUGGUUUUAUGAAGUACAUAUGCUCACUCAGAACAUUCCAAGAAAACAACAGCCCUUGGGUUUUUUUUCUGAUUAAAAAUAUGAAAGAAAUGUUUUUUCCAGGCUUCAUGUAGCAGAGAAUGACUGGCAUGGAUGUGAACAAUUUGGUAUAGCUUGGGUUUCAAAUUGAAGCACUUUCACACACUGUGGAUUUACAAUGGGAUAAUUACUGGGGGAGGGAGGGAAGAGAGAGAGUUUCAAUAAAACACCUCCAAGCGAAAAUGAAUGCAGACUAUUACAGACCUGAGACAGAAUGAUUCCCAAGAGUUUUAAUUUGUGCUUCCACUCCUUGCCUCUCUUGCAGUCAU